GUUCAAGACCUACGCCGUCCUGCCGGGGGACCAUGUGUGGAUGGACCUGAGAUCGGGGCAGGAGUUCGACGUGCCCAUCGGGGCGGUGGUGAAGCUCUGCGACUCUGGGCAGGUCCAGGUGGUGGAUGAUGAAGACAAUGAACACUGGAUCUCUCCGCAGAACGCAACGCACAUCAAGCCUAUGCACCCCACGUCGGUCCACGGCGUGGAGGACAUGAUCCGCCUGGGGGACCUCAACGAGGCGGGCAUCUUGCGCAACCUGCUUAUCCGCUACCGGGACCACCUCAUCUAC
rnacentral:lncRNA from 1 species